GACGAACGCUGGCGGCGUGCUUAACACAUGCAAGUCGAACGGAAAGGCCCUGCUUUUGUGGGGUGCUCGAGUGGCGAACGGGUGAGUAACACGUGAGUAACCUGCCCUUGACUUUGGGAUAACUUCAGGAAACUGGGGCUAAUACCGGAUAGGAGCUCCUGCAGCAGGGGGGGGGUUGGAAAGUUUCGGCGGUUGGGGAUGGACUCGCGGCUUAUCAGCUGGUUGGUGGGGUAGUGGCUUACCAAGGCUUUGACGGGUAGCCGGCCUGAGAGGGUGACCGGCGACCAUGGGACUGCGAGACGGCGCAGACGCCUACGGUGGGCAGCAGUGGGGAAUAUUGCACAAUGGGCGCAAGCCUGAUGCAGCAACGCCGCGUUCGGGAUGACGGCCUUCGGGUUGUAAACCGCUUUCGCCUGUGACGAAGCGUGAGUGACGGUAAUGGGUAAAGAAGCACCGGCUAACUACGUG
rnacentral:rRNA from 1 species